rfam:Chryseobacterium sp. IHB B 10212 strain IHBB 10212, complete genome.
GAUCCGGUAGUUCAGCUGGUUAGAAUGCCGCCCUGUCACGGCGGAGGUCGCGGGUUCGAGUCCCGUCCGGAUCG